rnacentral:snRNA from 1 species
ACACCUUCUUGGCCUCAUGGCUAAGAUCAAGUAUAGUAUCUGUUCUACGCAAAUUUGCUAUUGCGGCUUGCUUCGUUUUCUUCGUCUCCGGGUCUUGUAUUGUCGCCUUUUUAUUGAAAAAAUAUCGGCCACGUUGCCCAAAAGUGGUGGAUUCGUCUAAAGAGGGGCAUUUUUCCUAUACUGGGUAGAGCUAUU